GCAGGUCAGCAGCCGUUCCGUCCGCCUGAAAAGCGGAAGGUCGGCGGUUCGAUCCCGCCCCUGGCCACCA
rnacentral:tRNA from 1 species